AGUCGCGUGACCGAGAGGAUAGGCUGGAGUCUGCAAAACCCCACACGGCAGUUCGAAUCUGCCCGCGACGUCUA
rnacentral:tRNA from 1 species